AUGUUACAGGCAGAAUGUUAAAUCAGGAAUUGUAAACAAUUCCUAGGCAAUGUGUAUAAUGUUUGUAAGUCAUUCCUAGAAAUUGUUCACAAUGCCUGUAACAUAUAUGCAACUAGCAACAUG
rnacentral:pre_miRNA from 12 species